ensembl:lncRNA
GGGCCGGAAGUAGGUAGGACAGUGGUAGGUAGGACAGUGGCAGGUAGGACAGUGGUAGGUAGGACGGUGGUAGGUAGGGCCAGAAGUAGGUAGGACAGUGGUAGGUAAGACGGUGGUAGGUAGGAUGGUGGUAGGUAGGGCAGGAAGUAGGUAGGACAGUGGUAGGUAGGACGGUGGUAGGUAGGAUGGUGGUAGGUAGGGCCGGAAGUAGGUAAGACGGUGGUAGGUAGGAUGGUGGUAGGUAGGGCUGGAAGUAGGUAAGACGGUGGUAGGUAGGACAGUGGUAGGUAGGGCAGGAAGUAGGUAGGACAGUGGUAGGUAGGACGGUGGUAGGUAGGAUGGUGGUAGGUAGGACGGUGGUAGGUAGGAUGGUGGUAGGUAGGACGGUGGUAGGUAGGGCCGGAAGUAGGUAGGACGGUGGUAGGU